rnacentral:pre_miRNA from 1 species
AGUACAAUUGCUGGGUCACAUGGUAUGCACGUAUUUAGUUUUGUAAGAAAUUGUCAUACUGUUUUCCAGAGUGGCUGUACCAUUUUACACUCUCACCAGCAAU